GCAAUUUUUUCCCCUCCAGUGAGGAGAUACUAGGGAAGGCCUCUGGGUUCACAGCCAAAUUGCCUUAAUGGUUUGCCUGCUGUCCAGCGAGACCCAGCAGAGCGAGCGGGACGGCGGUGCGCCGGGCCGCGGGGACCCACGCAGUCACAGCUCCGGUGCCCGGCGAGCGGCCUCGCGCGCGGCUCGGGGCCGGGCCCUGCCCGGCCGUCUGCAAGAGCCGCGGGACCCCCGACGCGCGCGCACGGACCGAGGGGUCGGUCGCCCCACGCCUGGCAUCACGUUCCAGUGCGGACAGCCAAAGGGCUGAGCGGAGGCAGCAGCCCCGACCCAGCGGUAGCGCCGCGCCCUGCCCGAGAGAGGCGCGCCACGCCGGGCCGGAGCCGGUGGCCCGGGAGCCCGCGGGGUCCGGAGCGGAGCCCGCAAUGCAGACGCGCCGGCGAGCCCAGCCGGGGCCCGCGCCCCCCGCGUCCCCGCGCCCCGGCCCCGCGGUCGCCCGGCCUCAACGCCCACCUGCCUCGCCACGGAGCUCGGGAAGGAGACGGCGCCGGCCCCGCGCCCGGAGAGCGCACCUGCCUGGUCCGCGGGCCCGGCCCCGCCGCCCGCCGGCAGCACCGCGGCCAGCGCCGUCUUACCUGCCGCGCCGCGCCGCUCCGCUCCGCCAGCCCGCAGCGCCGCAGUCGCCGCUACCCGACUUCCAUUUUCUCUCGCUUUAAAGGAAAACCAGAUCAGCUGUUUUGCUCCCGCUCGGGCUCCGCGGCCCCCUCCCCAGCUGCCGCUCGCGGUCCCGGUGGCCUCUCCUCCCCCGCCUCCUCCCGCGCUCCGCUCCGCCCCUCGCGCCCCUCCGCUCCGCCCGCGGCCGCGCACAACGCCCGCCUCCCGGCUCCGCCUGCUGCCUCCGGGCGCGCGCCCUCCUCUGACGUCACCGGUCGCGUUCGCGCCCCGCCCCCGCCCCGCGCGGACGUGCGCGCGCCGCGCCUGUGCCCCGCCCCCGCCCCUCCGGGGCCGGGCACGGAGAGCGCGUGCUCGCGGCCGCGAGCCGAGGAGGGGACGUACAGCGCCCGCGCGCCCGCGAGCCCGCUCCGGCUCUCCCAUGCUUGCCCCUCGGGGUGCUCCUUCUGCGCUCUCCGCCUGGACUGCAGGAAAAGGCUGCUUAAACAGCCUGCCUUUUCCUGCUGCCUGACUCGCGCCAUCUGCGGCCACCUGUCUCGUUUCUUCCCCCUGGCUGGCGCACCCUUCCUUCCUAAACAUCCCAAACUUUCUCCCACCCAGGCUGUCCAGGCUGCAGUUUCUACGCCCUGCGCUGGGGCCUGUGCAUCACGCCUAAUCCAAAGCUGGUCCUUUUACCUCCCAAAAAGGUUCUCUGACCUUUUCCCAUUUUUUGCCUUCCUCUAAAGACUUUUUCACGCCACCCCUUCAGAUGGUUCCCCUCCCUGAUGGCAAGACCUGCUCGCUGCUCUGGGCCCUUCUCACGUCACCCUGUAGAUGUAGUCACGCUUCCUUAUCCCAAACAGGACGUUAUAUUGCAGAUGACCCAUACCAUCCUGGUGUACUUCUAAACAAUCAUUAUUUUACUUUUAGUUUAGGACUUUUUGCUUGACUUUAAACAUUGUAUAUGUUUAAUAGUGUUUAAUAAUUUAUUUGACUUUUAAAAUUGAUAUUCAGUAAAAUUGGUUAUUUGAUAUAUAAUCCUGUGAUCUUGAACCCUUGUUUGGAUUCAUGUAACCACUAGCGCAAUAAAGAGCUCCCUAGUUCUGCCCUUUUAUAACAGCGCCCCCGCCAACCCUAACUUUUGGUAACCACUGAUAGGUUCUCCAUUGCUACGGUUUUGUCUUUGUGAGUGUGUCGUAUACAUGGAAUUACGCAAUAUGUAACAUUUUGAAACUGACUUUAUUCCCUCAUCAUUAUACCUUGGAGAUUCAUCCAUGUUAUUGUGUAUAGUAAUAGUCCUUUUUAUUGUUGAGGGGAGUCUCAUUAUUUGUACCACAUUUUGUUUAGUCACCCACUGGAGAAUAUUUGCGUGGUUUCCAGUUUUUGGCGACUGUGAAUAAACAUUCUAUAAACAUUUGCAUGCAGCGUUUUGUACGGACAAAUUUUUUAAAUUAGUUGACUAAAUAUCUAGGAGUGCAAUUGCUAGAUCUUAUGGUAAAUUUGUUUAACUUUAUAAGAACCAAACAGUUUUCUAGAGUGGCUAUAGCAUUUUUAUAACUGUCAGCAAAUAUGAAUCCCUUUCCUUCAUCCUCACCAGCACUUGAUAUUGGCUAUCUUUAUCUAUCUAUCUGUCCAUCCAUCCAUCCAUCCGUCUAUCAUCUAUAAUUUUAGACAUUCUAGUAGGCAUAUAGUGCUAUAUCGUUGUUAAUUUUCAAUUUUCUACUGAAAAAUUAUGUGGAGCAACUUUUCAUAUGCACCUGUAUAUCUUCUUUGGUGAGAUGUUUGUUCACAUCUUUUGCCCAUUAAAAAAAAAAGGUUGUUUUCUUAUGGUUGAGUUUUAAGAGUUCUUUGUGUAUUUUGGAUAGAAGUACUUUAUCUGAUACGUGUUUUGCAGGUAUUUUCUUCCAGUGGAAGCUUGUCUUUUCAUUCUCUUAACAGUCCUGUCCUGAAUUUAGGGGAAGUAUCCAGUUUCUUACCACUAAAUAUGAUGUUAGCAGUAGGAUUUUUUUAGUUCUUCUUUAUCAAGAUUAGGAAGUUCUCUCUAUUCCUAGUUUGCAGAGUUUUUAUCAUGAAUGAAUGUUGGAUUUUGCCAAAUUCGUUUUCUGCAUCUAUUGAUACGGUCAUGUGAUUUUAUUUUCUUUAGCUUGUUGAUAUGAUGGGUUACAUUGAUUUUCAAUUGAUUUUCAAGGAACCGGUCUUGCAUACUUGGGUCAAAUUCUACUUGGGCAUGGUAUAUAAUUGUUUUUAUACACCAUUGUAUUCAAUAUGCUAAUAUUUUGUUGAAGACUUUUGCAUCUAUGUUCAUGAGAAAUAUUUGGCUAUAGUUUUCUUUUUUGUAAUGUCUUUAAUUUAUUUUGGUAUGCCGGUAAUGCUGGCCUCAUAAAAUGAGUUAAGAAGUAAUAUUUACUUGUAUUUUCUGUAAGAAAUUGUAAAGAACCUAUAUCAAUUCUUCCAUAAAUGUUUGGUAAAAUUCCCUGGUGAAACCAUCUGAAUCUGGUGAUUUUUUUGAGACUUCAUUAAUUAUUGAUUCUUUGUGGAUACAGAGCUAUUAGGUGAUCUGUUUGCUUUUCUGUAAAAUGUAGUUGUAUCAUUCAAGGAAUCGGUCCUUUUUAUCUAAUAUUCAAACUUGUGGGUGUAAAGUUGUUCAUCAUAAACCUUUAUUAUUCUUUUAACAUCUAUGAAAUUAGUAGAGAUGACGCCUCUUUCAUUUUUUGAUAUUGGCAAACUAUGCCCAAUGUCUUUUUUUCUUGGUUAACCUGGACAGGUUUAUUAAUUUUAAUCAUCUUUUCAGCUUUUUCUUUGUUUUGUUGAUUUUUUUCUAUUGUUUUCUAUUUUCAAUUUCAUUCUCUAAUUUUUAUUAUUCCUCUUUGUUCUGCUUGUUUUAGGCUUAAAUUGCUCUUCUUUCUCUAUUAUCCAAGGUGACAAUUUAGGUUGUUGAUUUUAGAUUUUUCUUCUUUUCAAAUGUAUACAUUUACUGCUAUAAAUAUCCCCGCUUUUACUGCAUCCCACAAAUUUAGAAAAGUUGUACUUUAAUUUUUAUUUAGAUCAAUGUUUUUAGUUAUUCUUGAGAUUCCUCUUUGACCCAAAUGUUUUUUAAAAAUGUGUUGUUUAGUUUCCAAUAAUUUGGGACUUUCCAGCUAUCAUUCUGUUCUUGAUUUCUAGGUUACUUCCAUUGUGGUAUGAAGACAUACUUUGUUUAAUUUCUAUUUUUCUUUAAUUUGAUAAGGUGUGUUUUAUAGAUCAGAAUGUGGCCAAUGUUGGUGAUUAUUCCAUGCCAGCUUGAGAAGAAUGUGUAUUGUGCUAUUGCUAGAUCUACAAAUAUCAAUUAAAUAAAGUUGAUAAUGCUGUUUAGGUCAAUUAUAUCCUCACCGAUUUUUUGCCUAUCUGAUCUUAUCAAUCAUGGAUAGAGAAAUGUUGAAGUAUCCUAUGAUAGUGGAUUGGACCAUUUUUUCUUUCAGGUUUAUCAUUUUUUCCUCACUUAUUUUGACAUUUUAUUCUUAGGCACAUGCAUAUUUAGGGUUAUUAUGUAUUCUUGGAGAAUUAGCCCCUUUAUGAUUAUGAGUUUCUUACCUAUCCCUCCCCUCACAUCCCUGAUAAUUUUCCUUUUUCUCAAGUCCCUUUUAUCUGAAAUUAAUGCAGCUACUCCAGUUUUCUUUUGAUCAGGGUUAACAUGGUAUAUCUUUCUUCAUCCCUUUACUUUUAACCAAACAGAUACUUUAUAUUUAAUGUCAACAAGAUAUAGUGGGGUCUUGUUUUGUUAUCUACUCUAGCAAUCUGUGUCUUUUAAUUGGUGUAUUUAGACCAUUCACAUUUAACACAAUUGUUGAUCUAUUUGGAUGAAUAUCAAUCAUAUUUGUAACUGUUUCCUACUGGUUGCCAGUGGCGGCUUUUUCUGCCUUCUCCGAUUUUAAUUGAGCAUUUUGUGUGGUUCUAUUUUAUCUUCUCUUAAAGAGUAUCAAUUAUACUUUUUAAAGAAUUUUUUAGUGGCCAUUCUAGAGUUUCUUUUUUCUUUGCUUUGCUUUUUUUUUAAGACAAAGUCUGGCUCUAUUGCCUAGGCUGGAGUGCGGUGGUGCCAUCUCGGCUCACUGCAUCCUCUGCCUCCUGGGUUCAAGCCAUCCUCCCAGCUUAGCCCCCUGAGUAGCUUACCAUGCCCAGCUAAUCUUUGCAAUUUUUGUAGAGACAGGAUUUCACCAUGUUGUCCAGGCUGGUCUCAAGCUCGUUAGCUCAAGCAAUCUGCCUGCCUUGGCCUCCCAAAGUGCUGGGAUUACAGGUCUGAGCCAUCAUGUCCAGCCUAGAGUUUCUAAUAUAGAUUUUCUUCUUUUACUAAUGUGUGUUCACCUUCAAAUCAUGGUAUUGUUUCACAUGUAACGUAGAUAUCUUAUAAGAGUGUGUUCCCAAUCCUCCCUCCCAUUCCUCGUAGCAUUGCUGUUAGUCUUUUCUCUUAUCCAUAUGCUACAAUGACCUGUUACUAUUUUUGCUUUAAAUAAGAAGUUAUCCUUUAAAUUAUUAAUGAAAAUAAAAAUAAAAGAUUUCAUUUUACCUCCAUUUAUUGCUUCUCCAACACUUCCUUUCUUAAUAUAGAUCCAAGUUUCUGACCUACAUCAUCUUCCUUCUGUCUGGAGAAAAUCUUUUAACAUUUCUUGAAGGACAGGUCUGAUGGUGAAUUACCUCAGCAAGUAAGUCCCUAUUUUUCUUCUUCUUUUUUUUUUUUUUUUUUUUUUUUUUUGAGACAGAGUCUCGCUCUGUCGCCCAGGCUGGAGUGCAGUGGCGCGACCUCGGCUCACUGCAAGCUCCGCCUCCCGGGUUCACGUCAUUCUCCUGCCUCAGCCUCCCAAGUAGCUGGGACUACAGGCGCCCGCCACCACGCCCGGCUAAUUUUUUGUAUUUUUAGUAGAGACGGGGUUUCACCGUGUCAGCCAGGAUGGUCUCAAUCUCCUGACCUCAAAAUGCGCCUGCCUCGGCCUCCCAAAGUGCUGGGAUUACAGGCGUGAGCCCCCGUGCCCGGCCUCUCCUUCAUUUUUUAAGAAUAAUUUUUCUAGAUAUAGAUUCUUAGUUGGUUAUUUUUUGUCUUUCAAACCUUUAAAUAUCUCACUCCACUCUUUACUUGCUUGGAUGGUUUCUGAUGAGAAAUUCCCUGUGUUUCUUGUCCUAUUUUUCUAUAGGCAAGCCACUGCACUCAUACCCCCAAUUCAGCUUUUUUCAAGAUUUUCACUUUUUCUGUCCUUUUUUUUGUUGGUUUUUGCUUCGGUAUUCUGCAGUUUGAAAAUUAUAUGCCUAGUUUCAUUUUUUGUUUCUUUAAUCCUGUUUGUUUUUGUCUGACCUACACAGCUUUACAGCUUGGUGUCUGUCAUUCAUGUUGGAACGUUCUCAGCUAUUAUUACUUCAAACAUUUAUUCUACUAUGUUCUCUCUUCUAUUUUGGUCAAAUAAUUACACAUAUGUUAAAACUGUUGAAGUUAUCCACAGAUCUUGGAUGUCUGUACUUCUUUUUCCAUUUAUUAUUAUUUUCCCAUUUCAGUUUGGGAAGUUUCUGUGGACCUAUAUUCAAGCUCACUGAUUCUUUUCCUCAGCCAUGUCAAGUUGUGUGACAAGCCCAUCAAAGGCAUCCUUCAUUGUCUGUCACAGUGCUUUUGAUUUUUAGCAUUUUUUUUCUUAGAAUUUACAUCUUUCUGCUUACAUUACCCAUGUAUUCUUGCAGGUUGUCUACUUUUUAAAAAAAUUUAUUUAUUUUUAUUUAUUCAUUUAUUUUUUAUUUUUUAUUUUUUUGAGAUGGAGUCUUGCUCUGUCAUGCAGGCAGGAGUGCGAUGGCAUGAUCUCGGCUCACUGCAACCUCUGCCUCCUGGGUUCAAGCCAUUCUCCUGUCAGCCUCCUGAGUAGCUAGGAUUACAGGUGCACACCACUAAGCCCAGUUAAUUUUUGUAUUUUUAGUAGAGAUGGGAUUUUGCCAUGUUGGCCAGGCUGGUUUCAAACUCCUGACCUCAGGUGAUCUACCCACCUCAGCCUCCUAAAGUGCUGAGAUUAUAAGCAUGAGCCAUCGUGCUCAGCUGCAGGUUGUCUACUUUUUUCCAUUACAGCCUGUAUCAGCCAGUGUUCACCAAAGAGGUAUAUAUAAUACACACAUACAUAAAUACACAUACACACACACAUAUAUAUAUAAUACACACAUAUAUUAAUAUUUAAACAUAGGUAUGUAUGUUUAAGGUCUGGUGUGGCUGUAAGGAUCAGAGGCUUCACAUUGCUCUAGUGUCCUUGUUUCUGUCUCCUCUCUUGAAUUUGGGCCUCCCUGUGUACUCCUCCUUAGAGACAGUCUGUGUUGUAUAGUUCUUUAUUUGUAAGCCAUUGUGAUUACAGUGGGGCCCUGUUGGUGUGGUGGUAAGGUAUGGGUAAGGGGAAGUGUUGUAUAAUCUUCCAGUGAAAUCUCAAUCUGUUAGUGAGCCUGUGUCCCUGUCUCAGCCUGUUAGUGGGCCUGUGACUCUCAUAAGUGUUUCUUCUGGCCCAGCAUUCCUCCUUCCCGCUGCCCCCUUAGGUGAGACAGAGACAUCCAGGCUGUGGGGCUGGGUUGAGAGGAAUUUCCUUUUCCACAGCUCUGGGAAAAGAUGCUGAUAAAGGUUUUUUCCCAUUAAGAGUAACCCUGUCACAUGGAGAAUGCUCUGGAUACACUUCACAAGGAUUGCUUUUUUCCUCUUUCUUCCAGAGCCAGGAGGGACUCUUCUUUGGCUUGCCACUGUGAAACCUGGUGAUGUUGAUGGAGGUCAUGUUCCUGAAGAGUGGUGGGCACUAUUACCAUCUCCAUCUGAUGUAUGAGGAAACUGGGGACACCGUGUAUGGAAGGAUGACCGAAGAUUGGUUAAGACUAAACUCUCAGCUUUGCCGAAAGUAAGACAGCCCAUCAGGAAGGUGAAGAGCCUUGGACAACUGUGCCUCCAUCAGGGCCUUGGUGGAGUGAUUAAUCACCUUACGAAGGAAGACCUUGCCUAACACCAAUUUUCAGAUGAUAUCCCAACAUUCAUGAGAGGUGGAGGGGAGUGUUCCUCCAACUUGACCCAGCAAUCAUCCCAGAGCCCCUGAUGUCAUCACAGCAGCCUGGGCUUGCUCACCCGUGUUGUUGUGAGCCUCAGCGAUGAUGGUGCUGGGUCUGCAGAGUUCUGGCUGCAGGAUGGAGUUGGAAUAUUGUACUCAGUGGAACUGAGCUGGGGCUGAACAAAGGCAAAUCUUCUGCCCUGGGGAUUAGGCAUUCAUCUGUGCCAACUCUCUUAAAUAUUUACAGAUGUGGAUUCGUGACAAUAAAAUUUGUGUAGGUUAUAUUUAGAGAGAAAACGAAGAAACAUCUGAGGAACCCCUGCUGUGUGCCAUGUCCUGUGCUGGAUGCUUUCUCAAGGUACUUCAUCUCAUCUUCACAAGCUUCCUGGGGGCUAUUUUGGAUGCUCCAUUUUAUAGAUGAGGAAACUGAGGCCGAAAGAGAUUAUAUGACUUACCCAAGGCCAUGCAGGUCAAAGUUCUAAAUGAUACAGCCAGGACUCAGCCCUAGGUCUUCUACUCUAAGUCAGGUUUGCUGUGAGUCGUGAAGUGGGUUAAAAUGCAUGUGACAGAAUACCAACAAAAUAGGGUUGGUCAGGAGAUAGGCAGCCUACACUCUAGAAAGUCAGCAGGAACCAAGGUACCUUCUGACUGUCUCCUCUCCCAUCCUAAUCCUCAUCCUCAUCCUCACACACACAAGCUAGAGGCCACAUCUUGUCCAUAUUCCAAACAGAAAGAAAGGGAAGGGGAAAGUCCAAAAAUGGAUGUUCCAGCAAAGUCUGCCCCAGUAUGAGAUUUCUGCUAUUGCCAUAAUAGCUUACCAAAAAUGUAGUCACUUUGAACAAUGCAAAGUUAUUAUUUGAGAGUUCUUAAUGUCAGAAGUCUGACACCGAUCUCAUUGAGCUAAAUCAAUAGAACAAAGGGGCUGCCUUUCUUUCUAGAGGUCCUGGGGGAACAUCUGUUUCUUUGCCAUUUCUAGCUUCUAGAGCCACCUGCAUUCCUUGGCUCAUGGCUCCCAUCUCUCAUCAUCAUAGCCAGCAGUAGGGUGAGUCCUCACACUACAUUUUUCUGAGUGCUUCCAUCAUCACAUCUCUCUCUUUGAACAGAGCCAGAAAAGGUUCUCCACUUUUAAGAACACAUGUAACUAGUUGGGGCCACCUGCAUAAUUCAAGAAAACCUCCCUAUAUCAAGGUCUUUACCCUUAAUCACAUUUGCAAAGUCAUUUUUACCAUAUGAAGUAAUACAUUCUCAGGUUCUAGGCAUUAGGAUGUGGGUUGGGUGGCUGUUAUUCCAAUGGCCACAGCCCUCUUCUAAUAAAGUUUCCCUACAAGCUUCAUGUAAAAUGUCUUGGCCAUAAUAGAGUCGCCAAGUUAUUCCUGCAAGGGAAGCUGGGAAAAGUAAAUUGUUUACUUAACUGGGCACAUUGGCUUCACCAGCAGGGAAGACUGAAUAUUAGGUAAUCUACUUGCUAUUUCUCCUACACAGGCCUAGAGUUACACAAAACGUACUUGGGAGUUAACUUUCUUUUCUAACUCUCUGAAAAGGUUUGUCCUUGGCAACACAUCUCCUUCCCUUUCUUUGGCCCCCAAGUGAUACCUCAUGAUAGAUGUAUCCAUAUACUCACCUAUAAGUGUAUCUAUCUAUCUAUCCCUCUAUCUCUAUAUUUGCAUUAAGUAGACACAGAGAAAAUAUUUGUUGAAUAAAUGGAGAUUUGAUCUCCUAUAUCUCAUGUAUUUAGCCUGAAAAAAAUGCUAAGAUUCUCUUAAUUUCAUAGAACUGUGAUAUAGAUCUGUGAUACAGCAGAAGUAACCCUGCAGUCUAAAGAGAAGAUCUGAAUUCAGUUCUACCUUUGCUGUAUGCUAGCUUGGAUGACAAAAGGCAAAAUGUUUCACUGUCCUUAACUAUGACAUAUAAACAAUGUCUAUCCCAGAAGACAGUUUUAAAAUUAAAUAUACUAAAUGGUACAGAAAAUAUUUCUGAUUCCAGUAAUAUUUUGCUCUGUACAACUUAAAAAUUCUUACAAAGCUCUGUAAAUACUGUAUAAAAUAGAACAGACAUGUUUUAAAUGCAUAGGUGAGCUUUCAACAAGGAAGAAGAAAUCCUUGUGUGAUAGAAUCAAUAAGGCAGCUUAAAAACCAAAAAGGAAGCAUAGAAUGCUGUAGAUAGGUUUCACAUUUUUUCUUCUAAUGUUGAGACCACAUUUUUCUGGGAGUAGACCACUUAUAAGGAUUUAGGUGGGUUUCCCGCAGCAGAGAGCUCAUGUUCUGGGUCUGCUUGGCCAGCCAGAAUGCCCCACCCCAGCUGUCAAGCAUGGGGGAUUACAGAAAAUUCUAGGCCCCACAGGAGGCAGGUUUGAGUACUAGAACUGAGAAUUCUGUAUGAAUGGUAGACCAAAAAAGAACUGUACCUCUAGAAAAGAGUGGCUUAGUAAAGAAAUAUAGUCAUUAACUUAGAAAAUCAACCAGAAAACUUACCUAUCUCUGCUUGGACUCUGGGUAAGAGAAAAAGUUCAACACACAUAUUCAAAGCCAGAACUUGCAUUGCAUGGAUUUGUGGAGAUCAAAUUUGCAAUAACUGUGUCUUUCCAAAGCUCAUAAUCUAAAAAAACUAAUAUAAAAAUAGAUUCCAUGCCAGUUAUAGCCAAAAUCUCUAAGCAGGAGAAAAUCAUAGAACAGUUAUGUAGUAGAUCUUACAGGAGAAAAAUUUACAUGUCAAAGUUAUACCACAUUUAAGGAAAUAAUCCACAGUGAAUGAAAGACAGCAGAAACAAUAUAUAGCAUUAGAGUUCCCUAGGAAUAUUAGAACUGACAAAGACUGUAAAACUCAAUUAGUAUUUAAAAAGCAGAUUUGACACAAUUGAAGAGAGAAAUAAUAAACUGGAGGAUAGGGAACAGGAAAUUACUCAAAUGCAGUAUAAGAAGAUAAAGAAGUGAACAAAAGAUUAAGAAGCACCAAGGACAGAAUGAAUAAAUCUAACAUGUCUACUUGAAGAAAAGGGGAAUAGCAAAAAUGAAAGAGAAACAAUAUUCAAAGGGAUAAUUGUAAAAAUAAUGGAAAAUAUGAAUUUUUAGAUUCAAUAUUCAUAACAGAUCUUGGGACAAAUAAUUUAAAAUAUAUUCAUAUCUGGACAUGUAAUUGGGUCAAAAUUUGUAUAUUAUUUACUGUAUUUACUUUUAUUUAAUGUAAUUCUCAAGCAUUUUCUCAUAUGAUAAAAACAGUUGUCCCACAAUUUUAGUGUCUGUUCAAUAUUCUAAUGUCUCAUGAUUUAUUUACUCACUCACUGAUAUAUAAAUAUUUAUGGAUUUAUCCCUCAAACUAAUAUUUGUAGAGGUAACAUGAUGUUGCUCAUCACUGCAUAGAAAUCUUCAUACAUUCAAAAUUUACUUAGAAUUCUAAAAGCAGAACUAUUAAAUGAUAUAACCUUUUUACGGCUCUUAAAUUUUUUUUCAAACUUCUGGAUUAAUCUGACAAACACUACCUCAGGUGAUAUACAUCGAUAUCAACAGUGAUAAGUCAUUUUGACAGUAUGUGAUGAAUUGAUAUGAUAUGGUGUGAUGAGAAUGACCUGUUACCUACGUGGUUUUCCUCCCAAAUUCAUGUAACUACAAUAUAAUCAUUUCAGUUGAAGCACAUUAUUUAUACUAAAUACCUGACUUGUACUCCUCAAAAUGAUCAAAGUCAUCAAAACUAAGAGAGACGCAGUCUCAUUCUGUCACCCAGGCUGGAGUGCAGUGUGUCAUCUCUGCUUACUGCAACCUCUACCUCCUGGUUUCAAGCAAUUCUCCUGCCUCAGCCUCCCAAGAAGCUGGGAUUACAGGCACCUGCCACCACACCCUGCUAAUUUUAAAACUAAGAAAAUUCUGAUUAACAAUCACAGCCAAGAGAAGCCUAAGAAAACAUGACAGCUGCACAUAAUGUGCUAUCCUGAAUGGGAUCUUGGAAUAUAAAAAGAACAUUAUGUGAAAAUUAAGGAUAUCUGAACAAAGUAUGGGAUAGCUACUAUAAAGACACAUGCACACGUAUGUUUAUUGCAGCACCAUUUACAAUAGCAAAGACUUGGAACCAACCCAAAUGCCCAUCAGUGAUAGACUGGAUAAAGAAAAUGUGGUACAUAUACACCAUGGAAUACUAUGCAGCCAUAAAAAAGAAUGAGUUCAUGUCCUUUGCAGGGACAUGGAUGAAGCUGGAAACCAUCAUUCUCAACAAACUAACACAGGAACAGAAAACCAAACACUGCAUGUUCUCACUUAUAAGUGGGAAUUGAACAAUGAGAACACAUUAACACAGGUAGGGGAACAUCACACACCGGGGCCUGUUGAUGGGUGGGGAGCAAGGGGAGGGAUAGCGUUAGGACAAAUACCUAAUGUAGAUAACGGGUUGAUAGGUGCAACAAACCACCAUGGCACAUGUAUACCUAUGUAACAAACCUGCACGUUCUGCACAUGUAUCCAAGAACUUAAAGUAUAAUUUAAAAGAAUAAUAAUGUAUAGCUCAGUGUAAAGCCAUCUGGGCCUGGGCUUUCUUUGUGGGAAGAUUUUUAAUUACUAAUUUAAUAUUUUCCCUUGUUAUAGGUCUAUUAAGAUUGUCAACUUCUUCUUGAGUCAGUUUUUGCAGUUUGUGUCUUUCAGGAAAUUUGUUUAUUUCACUAAUGUUAUCUAAUUUGUUGGCAUACAAUUUUUUCAUGAUAUUCUUUUGUAAUUCAUUUUUAUUUCUAUAAGGUCAGUAGUAAUGUCCUCUUUUUUGUUUCUGAUUCUAUCAAUUUAAGUCUUCUCUUUUUAAAAAUUCUGAUCAAUCUAGCUAAAGUUUUGUCAAUUUUGUUGAUACUUUGAAAGAAUUAGGGUUUGGUUUCAUUUAUUUUCUCUAUUGUUUUUCUUUUCUGUAUUUUAUUAAUUUCCACUCUAAUUCUUAUUAUUUCCUCCUGAUAUGGUUUGGAUAGUUGUCCCCUGCAAAUCACGUGUUGAAAUGUGAUUGACAUUUCACAUGUGAAAUGACCCCCAGUGUUGGAGGUGGGACCUAGUGGGAGGUGUUUGGGCCAUGGGGUCAGAUCCCUCAUAAAUGGCUUGAUGCCCUCCCUGUGGUAAUGAGUUACCAGGAGAUCUGAUUGUUAAAAAGAGUCUGGGACCUCCCUCCUCUCUCUUGCUCUCUCUCAUCAUGGGAUGUGCCUACUUCCUCUUUGCUUCCUCCAUGAUUAUAAGCUUCCUGAGGCGCUCACCAGAAGCCAUGCUGGUGUCCUACUUCACAGCCUGCAGAACUGUGAGUCAAGUAAUUUUCUUAAAAAAUUACCCAUCCUCAGGUAUUCUGUAGAGCAAUGCAAAAUGGAUUAACACAACUGCCUUAUGCUUGCUUUAGGUUUAGCUUGCUCCUCUUUUUUCAGUGUCUUAAAAUGUAAGUUUAGGUUACUGAUUUGAUAACUUUUUUCUUAAUAUAGACAUUUGCAGCUCUAAGUUUCCCUGUGUUAUAUGAUACUGCUUUUACUGUGUCAUAUAACUUUUGAUAUGCUUUGCCUUCUUUUUCAUUCAUAUCAAAGUGUUUCCUAAUUUUUCUUUUUAUUUACUUUUUGACCCAUUGACUAUUAUAAUAGCGGUACUCCCCAAACUGAUCUACAGAUUCAAUUCAUUCCCAAUCAAAAUCCCAACAGCCUAUUUUGCAGAAAUAAUAAGCUAAUUCUUAAAUUCAUAUGGAACUGCAAGGAACCAGAACAGUCAAAACAAUCUUGAAAAAGGAGAAUAAAGUAGGAGAAGUCACACUUCCUGAUUUCCAAACUUACUACAAAUCAAGAGUAACUAAGACAAUGUGAUACUGGCACAACGAUAUACAUAUUUAUCAAUGCAAUGGAAUUGAGAGUAGAAAUAAACUCAGAUAUCUAUGGUCAACUAACUUUCAACAAAGGUCUUAAGACUAUCCCACGGGGGAGGAAUAGUCUUUUCAACAAAUGUUGUUGGGACAACUGAAUAUUCACAUGCAAAAUACAAUUUUUAAGAAUCUAUGAUUAAAGGUGGAAAAAAAUAUUGGGCUAGAGGUCAUAAGAUUUAAAGUUUAGCCUUGGCACUGCCAGUAAAUAAGAGUGUAACUUUGGAACAAUUAUUGUACCUCUUUAGGCCUCUAUGAGGGUUUUGGAGCAAGUAACAUGGCUGCUCAGGUCCUAUCCACAUCCAACCUCUUCUUAGCCUGUGAUGACUGUAUCUCAUGAGCUGUGAUGAUGUAGUGACAGAACAGGUGGCGCACCUUGGUCCAAAGCCAAGAAUACCAUUUUCACAUAUUCAGCACUUUGCCCCACCAUCUGAUGCUACUUGGCCUCCUUUGCCUGACCCUAGAUCCUAGAGCAUUCCUCCAGGGAUAGGCAUUUGAUAUGGUUAGACUUCGCGUCCCCCCCCAAACCUCAUCUUGAAUUGUAAUCCCCAGGUAUUUAGGGAGAGACCUGGUGGGAAGUGAUUGGAUUAUGGGGGCGGUUCCCCCAUGCUGUUCUUAUGAUAGUGAGUGAAUUCUCAGGAGAUAUGAUGGUUUUAGAAAUGCUAGUCUUUCCUGUGCUGACUCAUUCUCUCUCUUGCCACCCUGUGAAGAGGCGCCUUCCGCCAUGAUUAUAAGUUUCCUGAGGCAUCCCCAGCCAUGUGGAACUGUGAGUCAAUUAAACCACUUUCUUUAUAAAUUACCCAGUCUUGGGUAUUUCUUCAUAGUAGCAUGAGAAUGGACUAAUACAGCAUUUCAAAGUGUCUCCACAGUAACUACAUUGUAGUUUAUAACUUUGAGCAAUUCCCUCAUGUAGCCCUGUUAUGUGAUAGAAGGCUUUUAUUUACUUAUUUAUUUAUUUUUCCAGGCUGUAAGGCACAGAAUGAGCCUUGUUCAAGUGACUAUAAGGUGAAAAGUUUUAUGUGAAAAUAUUGGUACAUAUGGAGAAACACAGGGUGUGUGAUCAGCAGGGGAUCUGGUCUUCAGGGGAAGUCACAUACCUAUUCAGGAGCCCAUGGAAAGUCCUCACAGAGGGUGGUAGGCCUUGAAUCAGGCCCCUGUGUCUGGCUGGUGGCUCAGGUGUCAAGCCUAGUGUUGUAUCCAGGGUUGCACAGUUCCAUAGCACAAUGUGCAGCAACUCACCAGAAAAAUGCAUCUCAGAAGGGGGCCAAGGGCUUCACUAGACCUUGGAAUCCCAUGGAAUAUCAGAAUGAUGGUGACUCAUAAGAAUAGCCAUUCUGUUUUGAGUAGUCACUUUCCAAACACUAGUUCCAACACUCCCAUCCAUGCAGGAUAUAUGUUACUCUCCCUGUUUUCCAAAUGAAGAAAGAGAGGCUCAGAGAAGUCAAGUGACUUGCUUGGUCACAGCCAGUGGGUUUCACAGUCAGGCCUCUGCCCUGAUGUGUCUGACUUCAAUCCUGGAUAUUUUGCCCUGCACAGUCUAAUCUAUUCUACUCAGACCUUGAUUAUUUUGGACCCAGCAGAUGGUGUAAUAAUGUCUUGUUCUAAGUCAUGAUGCAGUGGAGUGAGUUGUUAUGGCCUGAGUUGUGCCCCCUUCCCCACAUUCUUAUGUUGAAGUACUAACCUGCAGUGUGACAGUAUUUGGAGAUAGGGCCUUUAAAGAGGUUAAUUAAGGUUAUAUGAGGUCAUAAGGUGGGGCUCUAACACAAUAGGACUGAUGUCCUUAUAAGAAAAGGAAAAGACAACAGGGCUGCAAAUGCACAGGGAGAAGGCCGCGAGAGGACACAGCAAGGAUGCGAUCAUCACAAGCCAAGGAGAGGCCUCAGGAGAAAACAGCCCUACUGAACCCUUGAUCUUGGACUUUCAGCCUCCAGGUUGAGCACCUGGAUUUCUGUGUUGUUUGUUUGUUUUGUUGUUGUUGUUGUUGUUGUUGUUGUUGUUGAGAUAGAGUUUCGCUCUUGUCACCCAGGCUGGAGUGCAAUGGCACGAUCUUGGCUCACUGCAGCCUCCGCCUCCUGGGUUCAAGUGAUUCUCCUGCCUUAGCCUCCUGAGUACUUGGAUUACAGGCGCCCACCACCAUGCCCAGGUAAUUUUUGUAUUUUCAGUAGAGAUGGGGUUUCACCAUAAUGGCCAGGCUGGUCUCAAACUCCUGACCUCAGGUGAUCCACCCGCUUUGGCCUCCCAAAGUGCUGGGAUUACAGGUGUAAGCCACUGUGCCUGGCCUGGAUUUCUGUUUUUUAAGACCCCUACUCUAUGAUAUUUUGUUAUGGCAGCCAGUUCUCAACACUGAGAGAGAGAGUCAGGGUCAAAGAUCUCUGCAGUCCCUUCCAAAAUCUAACGUUGUGUCAGUCGAGAAUGUUUGAACUUUUCAUCUGCUUAGAUCUCUGGACUACAUAAAACUCCUAAUUCCAACGUCUUGUUUAGAACCUAGCGGUUCAC
rnacentral:lncRNA from 1 species